AGAGUUUGAUUAUGGCUCAGGACGAACGCUGGCGGCGUGCCUAAUACAUGCAAGUAGAACGCUGAAGAGAGGAGCUUGCUCUUCAUGGAUGAGUUGCGAACGGGUGAGUAACGCGUAGGUAACCUGCCUUGUAGCGGGGGAUAACUAUUGGAAACGAUAGCUAAUACCGCAUAACAAUGGAUGACACAUGUCAUUUAUUUGAAAGGGGCAAUUGCUCCACUACAAGAUGGACCUGCGUUGUAUUAGCUAGUAGGUGAGGUAACGGCUCACCUAGGCGACGAUACAUAGCCGACCUGAGAGGGUGAUCGGCCACACUGGGACUGAGACACGGCCCAGACUCCUACGGGAGGCAGCAGUAGGGAAUCUUCGGCAAUGGACGGAAGUCUGACCGAGCAACGCCGCGUGAGUGAAGAAGGUUUUCGGAUCGUAAAGCUCUGUUGUAAGUCAAGAACGAGUGUGAGAGUGGAAAAUUCACACUGUGACGGUAGCUUACCAGAAAGGGACGGCUAACUACGUGCCAGCAGCCGCGGUAAUACGUAGGUCCCGAGCGUUGUCCGGAUUUAUUGGGCGUAAAGCGAGCGCAGGCGGUUUGAUAAGUCUGAAGUUAAAGGCUGUGGCUCAACCAUAGUUCGCUUUGGAAACUGUCAAACUUGAGUGCAGAAGGGGAGAGUGGAAUUCCAUGUGUAGCGGUG
rnacentral:rRNA from 1 species